ensembl:lncRNA
CAAAAAAGUGACAUUUGAUGUCUAGAAAGUCAGUUUUCAUCAAAAGUACAAUAACAAAACUAGUUCGCAUUCAUCCUGUGUCUCCUUACACACUUGUGCUCUUUAUCCGCUCAAAACGCUAUAGAGCGAACGAGAAGGCGCUAGGAGCAAAGGAAAGUGGUUUUUCUAACAAACUCAUGUAAUCAGUUGCCCGACGUACUCCAAUUUGAUUUUUUUCACAUAGUUAGACAUAAUAUAGUACUAUGAAAUGUUUCUGACCCUAAAAUAAUACGAAAUAUGAUUGUUUACAUUAAAAUGUAAAACUUGAUGAUAAAGUAUGAUAAGUUGAAAAAAGUGACAUUUUAUGUCUAGAAAGUCAGUUUUCAUCAAAAGUACCAUAACAAAACUUAGUUCGCAUUCAUCCUGUGUCUCCUUACACACUUGUGCUCUUUAUCCGCUCAAAACGCUAUAGAGCGAACGAGAAGGCGCUAGGAGCAAAGGAAAGUGGUUUUUCUAACAAACUCA